rnacentral:rRNA from 1 species
AGUCGAGCGAAUCGAUGGGAGCUUGCUCCCUGAGAUUAGCGGCGGACGGGUGAGUAACACGUGGGCAACCUGCCUAUAAGACUGGGAUAACUUCGGGAAACCGGAGCUAAUACCGGAUACGUUCUUUUCUCGCAUGAGAGAAGAUGGAAAGACGGUUUACGCUGUCACUUAUAGAUGGGCCCGCGGCGCAUUAGCUAGUUGGUGAGGUAAUGGCUCACCAAGGCGACGAUGCGUAGCCGACCUGAGAGGGUGAUCGGCCACACUGGGACUGAGACACGGCCCAGACUCCUACGGGAGGCAGCAGUAGGGAAUCUUCCGCAAUGGACGAAAGUCUGACGGAGCAACGCCGCGUGAACGAAGAAGGCCUUCGGGUCGUAAAGUUCUGUUGUUAGGGAAGAACAAGUACCAGAGUAACUGCUGGUACCUUGACGGUACCUAACCAGAAAGCCACGGCUAACUACGUGCCAGCAGCCGCGGUAAUACGUAGGUGGCAAGCGUUGUCCGGAAUUAUUGGGCGUAAAGCGCGCGCAGGUGGUUCCUUAAGUCUGAUGUGAAAGCCCACGGCUCAACCGUGGAGGGUCAUUGGAAACUGGGGAACUUGAGUGCAGAAGAGGAAAGUGGAAUUCCAAGUGUAGCGGUGAAAUGCGUAGAGAUUUGGAGGAACACCAGUGGCGAAGGCGACUUUCUGGUCUGUAA